rnacentral:rRNA from 1 species
ACCCGCUGAACUUAAGCAUAUCAAUAAGCGGAGGAAAAGAAACCAACAGGGAUUGCCUUAGUAACGGCGAGUGAAGCGGCAAAAGCUCAGAUUUGAAAUCUAGCGUCAUAUUGGCGUUCGAGUUGUAAUCUGUAGAGAAGUUAUCGAGUGUGGAUAUGGCUUAAGUUCUUUGGAACAGGACGUCAUAGAGGGUGAGAACCCCGUAUACGGCCUUUGUCUUAUGCUCAUGUGAGGCUUCUUCGACGAGUCGAGUUGUUUGGGAAUGCAGCUCUAAAUGGGCGGUAAAUUCCAUCUAAAGCUAAAUACUGGCAAGAGACCGAUAGCGCACAAGUAGAGUCGAUCGAAAGAUGAAAAGAACUCUGAACAGAGAGUUAAAUAGUACGUGAAAUUGUUGAAAGGGAAGCACUUGCUCCCAGACUCGCUUGCAGUUAAUCAACUAUCAUUCUUGGUAGUGCACUUUUCUGUAGGUGGCCCAGCAUCAGUUGUGUCGGUGGGAUAAAGGCAGUCGGAAUGUGGCUCUCUUCGGAGAGUGUUAUAGCCUUCUGUGUAAUACCAUCUAAUGCGACUGAGGUCAGCGCUUUUGCGAGGAUGCUGGCAUAAUGGUCGU